GUCGACUUAGCCAAGUGGUUACGGCGACUGACUAGAAAUCAUUUGGGCUCUGCCCGCGUAGGUUCGAAUCCUGCAGUCGACG